UAUUUUCUUUUGGUUCUGCUGUGCGUCGAUCUUAUCUUCUUUUCUCUUCUACAGUCGGCUGUUGCUGUGUAUCAAUUUUAUCUUCUUCUCUACUCACCAAUCCUCAAAAGAACAACAACCCGAAAACAAAAACAAACAGAGAGAAAUACAGGAAGAGAGACGUGAAGGAUUGAUGACGAAAACAAGCCUGGGUUUUAACCUUUCAAUGAUUCCAAGGUCCAGCUUUUUUGAAGAUUCUGAAGUAAAAGGAUUCGGUUAAAAAGAAAUAAAACAGAUUAUAUGCAAAAAGGUUUGGUGUUAAUUUUUUUGCUACCACUCCUUUAUCUGUGCUUUGGUAGUAUUGUGGUCUAUUGUUUUUAUUCAGGUAAAUCAGCUAAGGCUUAGUUAGAUGUUUUUUGUAUUAAAUUCACAAUGUGUAUACCUGUGGUAAUGUUCAAUUCUUUAACUGUUACUAUUUGAUUACUCAGAUUCUGAAAACAGUGUGUUAUUCAAUUUCCCAACUGCAUUGGGUUCAGGUAUGGCUAGGUGAUUCUGUUGACUUGGUGUUUGUUUUAAGUGUAUUGAUAUACCAUAAUUUUUUAAUACAGUGAUGGCAGCAAAACCUGAAAUUCAUGGUAAUUGCAUUGAUAAAUGAUGAAACUGAUGAAGCAUCAACCAUCAGAAAGGGGAAUACUUGAUGUUGUCAUAGAAUGGUUUGAUAGAAUGUCAUUGUAAACUGCAAUAAUGUAAACCAAACAAUUUUAGACAGAUGAAAUUUUGACUCAUUUUAUCAUUAACCCCGCAGCGCAGCAAAGCGCGGGCACUAUUGCUAGUAAAUAUUAUCUCCAAGACACCGACAGAGGCAAUGAAAAUGAAAUUUUAUUUUCUGGAUCAUUAGCCUGAAAUCUCAGAAAACUUAUAAUUUUGGCUUCAGUAUGAGGCAUCGAAGUCAAAGAGAGAGCCAAGUUGGACUCUCUGUACAAAGAAACAGAUUAACAAUUAACAGGACAGGGGAUAUGUGCUCAUUUCAAUUAAUGUAAGAAAGAAUUACAUGUUUAUUUUGAUUAGAUUAGGGCUAUCAUAUAUGGAUGUAUGUGCUGUCUAGUCCUGGGUGUUGCUUUCUUUCUCAAGGACAGUUGUUCAACACAUUUUUUUUUUUUAAUAUUCUGUAAAAUAAUGGAUAAAUAACUAACGUGUUCGUCUAGGGUAUAUCAAUGUAUUACUUCAUCAAGUAGACUAAUUUGAUUUAGAAAUAUACCGACUCUAUAUAUAUGCGCCAACUAUGUUAGGGGAAUACUCGAUCUUUGUAUAUAAUUAGUCUAUCUCUAAUUCUCUAUAUCGAGUUAAAUCUAUUUGGCGUAUUUGUACAUUGAUGUAUUAGAUCUUUUCGUAACUAGCAACGUCAUCUCUCUCUUUCUCCCUCCCUCCCCCCCCUUUUCUUUUCUUCUUCUUCUUCUUCCUUACUUUCUCUCCUCCACAAAAUUCCGAAACCCCUCAAUCUCUCCAAAUUCACACUCCUAAACCCAUGAUUCACCCCAGACCCAAAUUACACUCUAUCCUGCAUCGCCUACAGCUACUCGCCAUCCACUUUCUCGAGCUCUUGUCACGUCAACACAUCUCCCGCCGCCAGUUCCUCAAGAUCCUCGCCCUCAGUCCCAUCUUCUGCUUCUCUUUCCUCUGCGAGAUUUGCCCAAUUGCUUCAGCAGAAGAAGAGCGGUGCCAUUCUGGACAAAACUGAUAGGAGUUGGUGCUUUUGUUGCCCACGAGUCGGAUUUGAUAGUGAGAGGUCGGAAAAGGUAUCAGAAGAGAUGGAUAGUUUCUGGAUUGUGACUGUGUCGCCACCAAGCUGUAGCCUUUCUAGGAAUUUUGUGACUCGGGCCAAUAAACCUGCAAAAACCAGCCUGAAAUUUUGGUCUGGGUUUUACUGGUCUUGGCAUUUCAACUACACAAACCCAGCUAAAAAAAAAACAAAAAAAAAAGGGGCCGGUCAUUUUGGAAUUUCUGAACAAACUCGGCCCGUGCCCAGGCCUAGAUUUUCUCUCCGUGGGUCAAAAAAGGUGAUGUUAGCAAUGAAAUUCGCAACAUCAUGAAGACAGAAUUUCUGUGCAAGGGUCAAGAUGUUGAUGGCAGCAGUGAAAUUUAAUGACAAUUGUAUUAUACAGAUGCAACGACUAUUUUUGAUAAAACUUUUAUCAUA